rnacentral:rRNA from 1 species
AUAGGGGAGCCGGAGGGAAACCGAGUCUUAAUUGGGCGUUAAGUUGCAGGGUAUAGACCCGAAACCCGGUGAUCUAGCCAUGGGCAGGUUGAAGGUUGGGUAACACUAACUGGAGGACCGAACCGACUAAUGUUGAAAAAUUAGCGGAUGACCUGUGGCUGGGGGUGAAAGGCCAAUCAAACCGGGAGAUAGCUGGUUCUCCCCGAAAGCUAUUUAGGUAGCGCCUCGUGAAUUCAUCUCCGGGGGUAGAGCACUGUUUCGGCUAGGGGGCCAUCCCGGCUUACCAACCCGAUGCAAACUGCGAAUACCGGAGAAUGUUAUCACGGGAGACACACGGCGGGUGCUAACGUCCGUCGUGAAGAGGGAAACAACCCAGACCGCCAGCUAAGGUCCCAAAGUCAUGGUUAAGUGGGAAACGAUGUGGGAAGGCCCAGACAGCCAGGAUGUUGGCUUAGAAGCAGCCAUCAUUUAAAGAAAGCGUAAUAGCUCACUGGUCGAGUCGGCCUGCGCGGAAGAUGUAACGGGGCUAAACCAUGCAC